GGUGAACGCUGGCGGCGUGCCUAAUACAUGCAAGUCGAGCGAACAGACGAGGAGCUUGCUCCUCUGACGUUAUCGGCGGACGGGUGCGUAACACGUGUAUAACCUACCUAUAAGACUGGGAUAACUUCGGGAAACCGUAUCUAAUACCGGAUAAUAUAUUGAACCGCAUUGUUCAAUAGUUAAAUACGGUUUUUCUUUCACUUAUAGAUUGAUCCGCGCCCCAUUCGCUAGUUGGUAAGGUAACGGCUUACCAAGGCAACGAUGCGAAGCCGACCUGAGAGGGUGAUCGGCCACACUGGAACUGAGACACGGUCCAGACUCCUACGGGGGGAAGCAGUAGGGAAUCUUACGCAAUGGACGAAAGCCUGACGGAGCAACGCCGCGUGAGUGAUGAAGGUCUUAGGAUCGUAAAACUAUGUUAUUAGGGAAGAACAAAUGUGUAAGUAACUAUGCACGUAUUGACGGUACCUAAUCAGAAAGCCACGGCUAACUACGUG
rnacentral:rRNA from 1 species